rnacentral:rRNA from 1 species
GAUCCUGGCUCAGGACGAACGCUGGCGGCGUGCCUAACACAUGCAAGUCGAGCGGAGACAGUGAGUAGCUUGCUACGAACUGUUUUAGCGGCGGACGGGUGAGUAACGCGUGAGCAACCUUUCCCAGACAGGGGAAUAACACACCGAAAGGUGUACUAAUACCGCAUAAGACCACGGUUUCACAUGGAACUGAGGUAAAAGAAUUAUCGGUUUGGGGUGGGCUCGCGUCCGAUUAGGUAGUUGGUGAGGUAACGGCCC